rnacentral:lncRNA from 1 species
CCACACCCAUGGCAUAAGGAAGUUCCCAGGCUACGGGUCGAACUGGAGCUGCAGCUGCAGGCCUACACCACAGCCACAGCAAACUGAGUCUCCGAGCCUCAUCUUCGACCUAUGCUACAACUCGUGGCAAUGCCAGAUCUUUUUCUGUUUUGUUUUGCUUCUUAGGGCCACACUCAUGGCAUAUGUAAGUUCCAAGGCUAGGGGUUGAGUCGGAGCUACAGCUGCUGGCCUAUGCCACAGAUACAGCAACUCGAGAUUCAAGCCACAUCUGCCAAAUACACCACAACUCACAUCAAUGCCAGAUCCUUAACCCGUUGAUUGAGGCCAGGGAUCAAACUCGCAUCCUCAUGGACACUAGCUGGAUUCGUUUCCACUGUGCCACAACAGGAACUCCCACAAUGCUAGAUCUUUAAUCCACUGAUCGAGGCAAGGGAUCAAACCCAUGUUGUCAUGGAUACUAGUCAGGUUCUUAACACACUGAGCCACAAUGAGAGACACUUAAUGAGAAUUACCCCAGGCAGACCUAUCCCGCUCUUGGAAGCCUCUUUAUUCAAAAAUACCUUCCCUGACAGAGGGCUGUAGUUACAAAAUGUCAGAACCCUCAGGAAGGUUUCCAGCCCUUGGUUCUUGGGGAUGGUCUUUUCCCUGAUACCUCCAGGGGCUGAAUGUGUGGGCCUGGAUGGGGUGGGAGAGCAGAGGUGGGUAAAUAUGCAGUCCCACCAGGCAGAGAGUGGGACUGGCUGGAGGGGGCCCGCCAUGGCCCUGAAUGCUGGUGGGAAAGCAGCGUGAGAGCCAGAGAGAAGACAUCACAGAUGACUGUCUUAUUUCAAAACUCUGCUCAGAGCUGGCCGUCUGCCCAGGGAUGCAGAAGGAAUGGCUCUUCCCAUCUCCCUCGAACACAGACAGAGGGACCCCCUUUUCCAAGUCUCCAAUCUCUUGAUAGUAACAGCUUCUGAGGACUAGUCUGGGAACCUCACCCCAUUUAUGGCAUUGUUUCCUUGGGAAAGUGAGCACUGAAUUCUAAAUCAUCUGUUUGCUAAUGAACUUUCCAAAAGUAAUCCCCUCACACGUCUACUCCGUCUGUGCUAUCACCGUGGGUGUUCCAGUGGCCGUGUGUGCUUUCAGGAACUCGGCCUGAGAAAUCUGCUGGUUCCCAACCUCUAUGUACCUUAGAGAAGUGACUGGGUCUGCUCUCCAAAGCAGUAUCUCACUGUGAGUCUAUUGGCAGCUACUGGAAAUAACAGGAGUUUUAACUGGGUGGUCUCUGCUCUUCCUCCUCCUCUGGGUGCUAGUUAACUGAGCUCCCACUGGAGGUCAGAAGUUUAUGCUAUCCCUUUGUCCAUCACUGACUUUCUGGUUAAAUGGGUGUUUGUCACUUUGUGGCACCUCAGUUUUUACAGUUGCAAAGUGAAGCUGGUUGGCAAAUGGAGAUAAAAAAUGAGAGUAUUGAGCUUCAGGAGAAAAUAACACGGGAGCUAUCUUUCUUCUUUCUUUCUUUUUUUUCUCUUUACAGCCACACCUGUGGCACAUGGAAGUUCCCUGGCUAGGGGUCAAAUCAGAGCGGAAGCUGCCGGCCUAUGUCACAGCCACUGCCAUGCCAGAUCUGAACUGCGACCUACACCACAGCUCACAGCAACACCGGAACCUUAACUUCCUGAGCGAGGCCAGGGAUCAAACCCACAUCCUCAUGGAUACUAGCUGGAUUCUUAACCCAUUGAGCCACAGCAGGAACUCCACAUCUUUCUCAUUUCUAGCGGGAGGGAGCUGGGUAUUAAGAUGUUUAGCAAGCUGCUAACCUGGUGUUAAUGACACUUAAACCGACUCCUCUUCAGAGAAGAAUAGGAGUGAUAAUGGUGAUAAUUAAUAUUGCAUCAGUGCUUUACAAUUUACAAGUCAUUUUUAUAUUCAUCCUCUCACUUGAUCCUUAGGAAGGCUUACAGGGCAAGCAUCACAUUUACUUCUGCUUAACAGGUCUGGGGACUGAUGUUCCGAGAAGCCAAAUGACUUGUCUAAGGUCAUCAAGGGAGUGAGGGGAGAGGCGAUGGCCACAGUUAGGUCUUCUCGUUUCUUUUUUUUUGUCUUUUUGGGGCCACACCUAUGUCAUAUGUAGGUUCCCAGGCUAGGGGUCGAAUCAGAGCUAUAGCUAUUAGCCUACGCCACAGCCACAGUAGAUCUGAGCCGUGUCUGCCACCUACACCACAGCUCACGGCAAUGCCGGAUCCUUAAUCCACUAAGCGAGGCCAGAGAUCGAACCCAUGUCCUCAUGGAUACCAGUCGGGUUAGUUAACCACUGAGCCACGACGGGAAUUCCAGGUCUUUUAAUUUCAUGUUCGAUCUCUUCUUCACUUGUUCCAUUCCCCACUGUGUUUUUCCUAAUUCAAUCUAUCACCAAAGUCAUCAUCAAAGGGAGAUUACAGGUCUCUCAUAAGGAAAGGGACAUUGUGGGGGAAAGGCACAAAGGAUUAGAGGGCCCGGGUACAUCCUCUUCUAACGUACCCUAUA